AGAGGGGUUGCUGGGUCAAAUGGUGGUUCCAUUCCCAAUUUUCUAAGAAAUCUCCAUACUGAUUUCCAUAUUGGCUGCACCAAUUUGCAGUCCCACCAGCAGU
rnacentral:pre_miRNA from 1 species